AUGGUACACGGCUUCAGAGUCAACGCCACACCCUCCCGGGACCUGCAAGCAUCCUGCCUUCUCCCUGUGCCUCUCGAACCACAUUGGUGGGUGCUUCCUGCUGACCCUGCCUCCAGAACCCUCCCAGCCACACCUCCCCAUGCCCACACCGCGGGCCUCAUGAGAGCCACAGGCACAUCUCCCCAUGCCCACACCGCGGGCCUCAUGAGAGCCACAGGCACAUCUCCCCAUGCCCACACCGCGGGCCUCAUGAGAGCCACAGCCACACCUCCCCAUGCCCACACCGCGGGCCUCAUGAGAGCCACAGGCACACCUCCCCAUGCCCACACCGCGGGCCUCAUGAGAGCCACAGCCACACCUCCCCAUGCCCACACCGCGGGCCUCAUGAGAGCCACAGGCACACCUCCCCAUGCCCACACCGCGGGCCUCAUGAGAGCCACAGCCACACCUCCCCAUGCCCACACCGCGGGCCUCAUGAGAGCCACAGGCACACCUCCCCAUGCCCACACCACGGGUCUCAUGAGAGCCACAGGCACAUCUCCCCAUGCCCACACCACGGGCCUCAUGAGAGCCACAGCCACACCUCCCCAUGCCCACACCGCGGGCCUCAUGAGAGCCACAGCCACACCUCCCCAUGCCCACACCGCGGGCCUCAUGAGAGCCACAGGCACACCUCCCCAUGCCCACACCGCGGGCCUCAUGAGAGCCACAGGCACACCUCCCCAUGCCCACACCGCGGGCCUCAUGAGAGCCACAGGCACACCUCCCCAUGCCCACACCGCGGGCCUCAUGAGAGCCACAGCCACACCUCCCCAUGCCCACACCGCGGGCCUCAUGAGAGCCACAGGCACACCUCCCCAUGCCCACACCGCGGGCCUCAUGAGAGCCACAGCCACACCUCCCCAUGCCCACACCGCGGGCCUCAUGAGAGCCACAGGCACGUCUCAUUCGGAUUGCAGCCAUGGCCUUCUAAGUUGGCCCUCGGCCUUCAGGCUUGUUUUCUUCCAACCCACUCUCCCCCUGGCACUUCAUCUUUUCAGAUUUGUACUUCGGCCUGACAGUUACGCAGCGGUUUCUUUCUUCUUUUGCUUUCAGGAUGAAAACACAAGCCCCUCAGCAUGGAAUCCGAGACCAAGCCCCAGACGUCUCCAGCCGCACGUGCCUCCCCUGCCCAGGCUCUGCACCUACUCCCAGGUCUCCAAAUGCAGGGAGCCCUUCUGCUUCCUGAGCUUGCCAGCCCACUUUCCUCGGGCCUUACCUUCCUGA
rnacentral:lncRNA from 1 species